rnacentral:lncRNA from 1 species
UUGACCUGUAUUUUCAUGAAAGAAAUACAAGUACCUUCUGAACGAAUACCAUACAAAUACUGUGCCAAUGUAGGUAACACUGAAGAAUGGUAAAACUGUUAGGUUAACAUGGCACAAUCGCUGCCUGCAUGCAUGCAUAUACGUACUCCGUAUAUGCAUACCCAACCUUCAAAAUGUUUGUCCUGCCUAUGAUCUUACCGGUUGACAUGGAUGUAUACCCCUAAGUUAUCAGCACAAUUUAAGUAUGAGACUAUCAGAGACUAGAAUUAAUGGAUGCGUCCCGCCAUGGUAUAUAUCUACCGUACCUAUCAUAUGAUUUACAACUGGCGACGGACUCCUACCAGUCAUAAUUUACCGAUGUUCCGCAAUGAGACAACUACAAACUAGACAUCUCUAUAUGACCAAUCUCCCCAGCAAGACUACAUAAGAGAGUCAAGUUACAUGUGUAGUCCGACAGGGUUCUUGAUUAGGGUAAAUGGGUGUCUUGGCGUGCAGAUAUCAUGUGGCAGAACCAGUGUAGGUCAUGCAACGUAUAACAGGGAUCCCAUUGAGCAGCAGUUCGGGAAGUCGGAAAACAGCACCUGGGAGGACGGGAAAGAGAUGGUAGGCUUUGGCAGCUUCCUGUUGUGUAUAUUGAGGGGUAUGUAGACCGGUCUCCCCUUGUAUUGUAGACGAUGAUUACCCGGACGGAUUGGUCCCCAUACAUUCAACGAAGCAGAAUCGAUCUUAAUGCUUUAGCGUCUUGGUGUGAUUAUUCGAGGAGACUGUUCACCUCUUAAGUAUUGAAGUUCAUAUCAUCAACAAAUCCCCGCCUCUGAAACAGAAGAAUGCCAACCCUUUGUUGCGGGUUGUCUUCCUAUUUCGGCAAUAACUCGUUCCAGCACCUCGCCGAUAUUUCCUCAAGACUGCUCUCCACAUCUCGCGGCAUGUUGUUAUUAAUCUUUAAUUAAGUUACGAAUUGCGAUAUUUCAACUAUUUGUCACAGAGUUCUCCAUAUGGGAAGUAGAUAUGAAGCACUCAUGCACGACAUGAAGCCUGAAUAUUUGGGCAUCGUGGGUCGAACGGAGGGGACCAUUGACAGGGGUGUGUCCCUGUACUCAAUUAGGAAAUAUAUCAACAUACCUUAAUACUGUGUACUAAUAAUACUCAUGCUACGUAGGAUCUAGCUAUGUAGUAUGUAUCAUUUAUUAAAGUCCCGUUUAUAUCUAAGUUGCUGUCUUAUGACUCGAUCCUAAGACUCGAGCCGGGUACCGUUGAUACCAUCGGGUUAAAUUAGGGCUUGUGGUCAAGCGUACUACCUGGUGACCAGGUUUUGAGCUAAACAAUACUCCACGAUCAACUCACUUGAAACCGUGCGGCUUCUUGGAUCUACACACCAACCCUAUUAUCGGCAAUGAUCAACUGACUACGGUCUUCUCCGUAUAUCCGGAGAAUGAGAAUGACGCUCAGACUAUGUCGGUCUAUGCAAAAUCGAGAGCCUAACUCGAGUCUAACAUGUUUAGUACUUCACCGUUCAAGAUAAAGUUGCAUCUGAUUCCCUGCUUUCUGCGACGCCUCCGCAGAAUACUCAACAGCUAAGAUUCACCGGCAUAUUUUUUUUAAAAAAAACAAAAAUCAAAAAUCAAAAAUCAAGCGGCCGAUUUUUUGGCCCUUUUUGUUCUGACUAGCGCACUAGUAGUUGUCCCCAACGAUAUUUCGGAAUAUGGUUUCCAGGAUAAGAGGCUGAUGAGAUGAGUGGCUGGUUUGAAUAGUGAUCUGUCAUUGAUAGAGAUAUCUCCUAGGGAGUCCGGCAAAUACUAGAUUCGCCUUGAAGAAGAUUAGGCAGCAUUUUCCAGUGGGACUGAGAAAUGGAAGACUGAAGAUAAACUUGGUGCUUGAUAGACUGCUGAUCGAGCAGUUCGAGUUGACUAAAUUAUGAGCUAGGAGAACUAGUUAACUAGCUUACUACAUACUCUGUAGUUAACUUAGUUACUGUGUAAAGUAUUUGACUAACAAAGCCCAGUUCAAGCCACAGGCUGCCUAGCUAGGGGUACUACGUAUGUAUAUGUCAGGUGAAGAACCUAUGCUUUUAUCAGCAUUCGGCCUUUGAGCCGAGUGCAUCCCUACGCCCUGGUUUGGUGAACGAACCUAUCCCAACGCUUAGUACGGAGACUUACGGAAUGCUACGAGUACAUAACUACGUCACCAUAUGAUUCUUAAACCUUCGGCCCAUUGUGGAAUAUCUGAAACGAGUCGUAAGUUUCUCGAUUUGUGGAAUGUUAAAACUUCGCCCUAUCCGUCUUACGUACAUCGAAAUUAAACAUUUUGCAAACAUUCGUUACUAAAGAUAAGGCGGAAAAAAAUCUCAAGUCUUCAGUCCGUAUCAAGGGGGAUAUCCGGCAUGCCGGAGUAACAACGGAGACUCCGGAUGUUAUGUAGUGUGUAGUAGAAACCUGAACUAACUAGCCCAACUUGCAUACAAUCUUCAACGGCUUUGGUGGAGAUUUUGGGAACAAGACACACCAAAAAGAAUACAUUUGCUUACAAAAAAAUUCCAACCAAGUUUCUGAGUGGCCGACAAAAAAAACGAAGAAAAGUAAGUGCUUCCCCAAAAGGGAAACAGGUUCGAAUUCUUCUUUCCGUUCGCAGUCACAACCGCGCGAAAAAAGGGGGUCACCAUGCCCUAAGUGGAGCCCAUCACCGGCAGUAAUAGAGUUCGACAAGAGCUGACUAUUAUUUUUCUUCAGGCUUUGUUCAAAAUUGUUCAAUGUUCGGUACAAGGGAGCAUUGGAUAAUUUUGGCUAGCAGAGUGGUGUUCGCCAUCCAGGUUAUUCGAGAACCGCCUUACGAUUUGAGUUAGUUUAUUUGACUUUCGUGAAUUAAAUUUUUUUCUUUUUCUUUUCUUUUUUCAUCGUGACGAUCCACGAUGUGACGGAACAUGUCCGGCUCCGUAAUGAUUACCCUUAGAUUGUUACAAGUUACAACCCAUGAAUUUGCCACUCGCGUGGCCAUCGAAGAUCAUGCGCGGCGUCAACUCAAAAUUAGGAAGACUGCUACGUAAGGUAUUCUUCCGGACUAGGAAAGAGCUAGUAUUGAUACACUCAUACUACGUAGUAGACAAUGCUUUCAGUAUUACGAAGCCCCAUAGUUAUUAUGUAUUAUGUUACGUGAAUAACAUGAUACAUCGUCGUCUUGCGAGUUCAUGGUCUACAGAAAUUGAAAUUCUAGGCACUCGUCCUUGUUUCCUAUUUGUUUGCAUGUUAAUUGAAUUUGUAUCAAUUGUCCUAUGUAAAGCAUCGGUUUCCAAUAAUGCCAAUAUCGGCACUCCGAUUCUGCAGGGGUAACAACGAAUAGCAAGCCCGUCGCAAGUCAGAGAACGGACAGGCAGCCCAAGCAUUUUUGACAUCUGCAGGGUAGUAUCAAAGAGAAAAAAGUACGGAGUAGGGCACGUAAUAAAAAUCGGUUAAUC